rnacentral:rRNA from 1 species
AUUGAACGCUGGCGGCAGGCCUAACACAUGCAAGUCGAACGAGUGGCGGACGGGAGAGUAAUGUCUGGGAAACUGCCCGAUGGAGGGGGAUAAUUACUGGAAACGGUAGCUAAUACCGCAUACCCUCGGAUGUGCCCAGAUGGGAUUAGCUAGUAGGUUGGGUAACGGCUCACCUAGGCGACGAUCCCUAGCUGGUGUGAGAGGAUGACCGGCCACACUGGAACUGAGACACGGUCCAGACUCCUACGGGAGGCAGCAGUGGGGAAUAUUGCACAAUGGGCGCAAGCCUAAUGCAGCCAUGCCGCGUGUAUGAAGAAGGCCUUCGGGUUGUAAAGUACUUUCCGCGAGGAGGCGUUACUCGCAGAAGAAGCAUCGGCUAACUCCGUGCCAGCAGCCGCGGUAAUUC